rnacentral:rRNA from 1 species
CCAAUAGCGUAUAUUAAAGUUGCUGCAGUUAAAAAGCUCGUAGUUGAAUUUCGGGAUCAAUUUACUGGUCGUGCCUAUGGUACGUACUGGUUUUGUUGGUUCCUCCUUUCUGAGGAGCCGCGAUGUCAUUAACUUGGUGUCUCGGGGAAUCAGGACUGUUACUUUGAAAAAAUUAGAGUGUUUAAAGCAAGCUAACGCUUGAAUACAUUAGCAUGGAAUAAUGAAAUAGGACGUUUGAUCCUAUUUUGUUGGUUUCUAGGAUCGACGUAAUGAUUAAUAGGGAUAGUUGGGGGCAUUAGUAUUCAAUUGUCAGAGGUGAAAUUCUUGGAUUUAUUGAAGACUAACUACUGCGAAAGCAUUUGCCAAGGAUGUUUUCAUUAAUCAAGAACGAAAGUUAGGGGAUCGAAGACGAUCAGAUACCGUCGUAGUCUUAACCAUAAACUAUGCCGACUAGGGAUCGGAUGAUGUUAAUUUUUUAAUGACUCA